AGUGAACGCUGGCGGCAUGCCUAACACAUGCAAGUCGAACGAGACCUUCGGGUCUAGUGGCGCACGGGUGCGUAACGCGUGGGAAUCUGCCCUUGGGUUCGGAAUAACUCGCCGAAAGGCGUGCUAAUACCGGAUGAUGACGUAAGUCCAAAGAUUUAUCGCCCAAGGAUGAGCCCGCGUAGGAUUAGCUAGUUGGUGGGGUAAAGGCCCACCAAGGCGACGAUCCUUAGCUGGUCUGAGAGGAUGAUCAGCCACACUGGGACUGAGACACGGCCCAGACUCCUACGGGAGGCAGCAGUGGGGAAUAUUGGACAAUGGGCGAAAGCCUGGUCCAGCAAUGCCGCGUGAGUGAUGAAGGCCUUAGGGUUGUAAAGCUCUUUUACCCGGGAUGAUAAUGACAGUACCGGGAGAAUAAGCCCCGGCUAACUCCGUGCCAGCCGCCGCAGUAA
rnacentral:rRNA from 1 species